AUGGCUCAUUUCCAUACUUGUCUUACACAGUGGAGUAUAUAUUUCCAUCCCCGCGAGCCCUCCUCAUUCAUUCCCACCAGCCGUGACCUCAGCGUGACAUCGUGCCGUGAUCUACUUGUACAGGAAUUCUCUGAAGCUACGCAAUGAAGCUGUUUGUCUGCAUGAUGCUGGUGACGAUGGUUGUCAUGGCAACGCUGAUCGACGACUCCGAGGGAUGGAGGCGUCGGCGCAGGCGCAGAAGGGGUCGUCUGGAUGUCGAUGCAGAUGCUGACUCAGAGUUGAGGGAGGUUGUGGAAGAGGCGAGGUCGCUCCUGGAGGAACUUGAUGAGGCCAGUGAACAGUGGAAUACACAAGGACUAGAGAACGGGGAAGGGGAGGACGCUCUCACGGAUCAGAAAGAAGGUCAAACGAGAAGAAGUCUUGAGCAAGACAUUUAGUACAGUUGAAAUUGUAGAAAAAACGAAAGUUCGUUCGUCGUCGGAACCUUUUUUCUCUGAUUUUUUUUGUCUCGUGUUGUUCCUCUCCAGUAACAUGUAAUGUUAUUUAACCCAAAGACUCACUUGAGAUGGGCGAAACAACUUUGUGCCUUAUAAUGGAUUCAAUGUGUUCGAUCAGUUUGUAUUUGAAACAAAUGCUGCAUAUCCAUUUUAAUAAUCGUGUUAUACAUGAACAGCAUUUUGUGACCUUGCUGAUUUCUGGUUCAAUAAAGCUUUUUGAAUCAUUUUUC